rnacentral:lncRNA from 1 species
UUUUAGACAUAAAAGUUCAGCGAUAUAGACAUGUCUAGUAAAGAAGCAGAAUGGAUAAAAUAUUUUACUUUACAUUCAUAAAUCCUACAGUCCUUAAACUUCUCUGAAUUUAACCUGUUCUUGGGAUGUGUUGAAAAGCCAUUGAGAAGUGAAAUUGCAUUGUUUAUCUUCAUCUUUCUUAGAUGCCAGGUCCUUGAAAGGAAAAAUUCUGCAAUCCCAGCAGAGCUGAAUGAAAAGCAAGAGCUUGUUUAUAAUAACAAGAAGCUAGAGCUGCAAGUGGAAAGCAUGCGAUCGGAAAUAAAAAUGGAGCAAGCUAAAACAGAGGAUGGAAAGUCCAAGUUAGCCAUUCUACAGUUAACACACAACAAGCUUCUUCAAAAACAUAAUAAUGCAUUGAAAACAAUUGAGGAACUAAUAAGGAAAGAGGCACUCAUACAAAAAUAGAUUAUUGAUUAAUGGAAACUGUUGAGCAUUUUAUACCUUAAAAAAAGUUACCUGAAUCCUUGACUAAGUCCCGUUUCAAAAGUUGCUUUUCAGUUUAUAAUUGAUUUCUUGUGUCAUAAUAUUUACAACUUCUCACUUAUGUACAAUGUGCUUUGUGUUACAAAGGUAGUGUUCAUGUCCCACCAUCAAAAAGUAAGCAUUUGUAUUUCUCAGAGUAGGUAGAGAGAGCUGUAGGAGAGCUAAGAGCAUGGGCUCCUAUGUGCACAGUGUACAGUAAGACAGCUGGCUAGGGCUGGAGGGGCCAUUCACAUGUGAUUGUACAAGGCCAGU